UACGUAGGGGGCAAGCGUUGUCCGGAUUUAUUGGGCGUAAAGCGCUCGCAGGUGGUUCGAUGCGUCGUGCGUGAAAGACCCCGGCUCAACUGGGGAGUGUCGUGCGAUACGGUCGGACUGGAGGCCAGUAGGGGGAUGCGGAAUUCCGGGUGUAGUGGUGGAAUGCGUAGAGAUCCGGAGGAACACCAGCGGCGAAGGCGGCAUCCUGGACUGGUCCUGACACUCAUGAGCGAAAGCGUGGGGAGCGAACAGG
rnacentral:rRNA from 1 species